AAAUACAUAAAAUAGAGAGAAUUCUUGUUUGCAAUGGUAUCAUUAUCAAGCAAAUUAUGAAAGCAUUAUUAGCAUAUUGUAAAAAAGGAAAUCUGACUGGUCGCCAAUCAAUACACUUGCACCUUGUUGAUAAAUGGAGCUUUCAAGAAAAAGGUUUGGGGAAAGAUGGUUUUGAGCUUUUUGAGAGGAUGCAGAGUAAAGGGGCAUUGCCUGAUUUACAUACUUACAACUCCGUGCUUGAUGCCUAUUGCGAUGAUGGUGAGAAGCUGAAAGUAUUCCAACCGUUCGAUGAAAUGCGCCACAGAGGGCUGCUGCAAUAUCGUGAUUUACAAGUAUUAAUUUAGGGGCUGUGUAAGCAGGGGAGUUUGAGGGAUGCGAAGAGAUUGUUAUUUGAGAUGACGAGCUGUGGUUUGAGGCCCAGCGUAAUCACUUACAACUUGUUAAGGGAUUGGUACUGCUGCAUUGGGAUGCUUGAGAAAGCUCUGUACUUGCAUGAUGAGCUCCAAGUCUUCCUGCUUAUCUCUCCAACUGUGAUCACCUACAAUGUCAUGGCUGCAGGAUGCUCAAGAAGUGAGGACUCAUUUCGGGUUUUGGAGUUCGUUGUUGAGAUGGAAGAGAGGGGGAUUUCUCCAUCAAAGAUUACAUACACUAUCUUGAUUGAUUUCUUUGCACAGUCUAACAACAAGGAGAAAGCACUUGGACUCCUAGCUCAAAUGAGAGGAUUUGUUUGGUUGCAGAUGUUUAUACUUAUAGCGUCUUGAUGAAAAAGGUGGCGCAAUGAAGGAAAUAUGGGGGAAGCAUCAAACUUGUGGGAGACAAUGUGUGAGAUGGAAGUUGAACCCAAUAAUGUAAUGGAGCAUACGAUAUGAUGGUCCGUGCAUAUUGCAUACAAUGUAGCUUCUAUAAAGCAUUGAAGCUGCUAAAACAAAUGGUUGAAAAGGGUAUGAUUCCUUAUGUAACGAGAUGGGAAAUGAGAUGUGCUUCCAAAUCUUCUCACUGGCGUGCUUAAAAUCGUCUGAUCAGAGGCUGUCAGCAGUGAAUUUUUUCAACUUGAGACAUCAAAUGGAGAGGAUGAGGUCCGAGUACUUCUGGGACUUCAAUGAUCUUUGUAUUUUGUUUGUGCAGAUUUUUUUGGAGGAAUUUGGAUCAUGUAGAAAAUUGGAGAUGGCCUCAAGAUUGAAGCAAUAUGAUAAACUUGAUGACUGUUGAAAGCUUGAAGUGGGUAGAGUAUGGAGAAGACGGGACUGCCGUGCACUUAUUGGAUUCCAACAUUUUCUGUUACGGAUGCAGAUAGAACUUCAAAGUUGAUACUAAAUAGUGUUUUAUAUUUGUGGAGGAUCAGAAAGACCAGACAGAGCUUGAAGCUGACAAGCAUGGUGAUGCAGCGCUUGACAAUGUAGAAUUUGGACUUCUGCUCCUUGGCCAAGUUGGUGCACUUGCGCGUGAAUCCGGAACACCUCUGCGACGAGCUUCUGGGGAGGGAGGAUUUCGAGGAGGUGUUCUUCUGAGAGGUGCUGCGGGAGAGAUUGAAGGGGUUCUUGGUGGAGAAGCUCUUCUGCAGCGAGGACUUGGUGGAGCUAUGCUGCGAGACGCUCCUUGAUAUAGACGGUUUGGAUGAGGAAUGUGGCCUAUCUUCUUUGGAUAACUGCCAUUUCUCAUCCAUGUAAUACUCCAUGGAUCCACCCCUGCUUAGAAAGGCACCUAGUAAUGGUUCCUUUUUGUGUUGUGUGUGAGUGAGAGGGAUGUGUAGAGAGAGGGCAUGCAGAGGGAGAAAAGAGAGUUGUGAGAUGAGGUGGUGGUGGGACAAUAUAUACUAGUGUGGUAUUGACGACUGUUGUUUAGCAGCAUCACAUGUGGGAUGCUCGAGUAAAAUGGUCAGUUUAGCGCCUUACUUUAUAAUUUGCAGCCAAAUUCUAUGCUGGAUCUCGUUUAUUAUAGGCCCCAACCCAACCCAUUCUGCUCCUGCCUCUCUGCCCAUUAUCUCUCCCAACU